rnacentral:tRNA from 1 species
GCGAAAGUAGCUCAGUUGGUAGAGCACAACCUUGCCAAGGUUGGGGUCGCGGGUUCGAGUCCCGUUUUUCGCU